CGGGGGGCUGCAGCAGUGGGGAAUAUUGCGCAAUGGGCGAAAGCCUGACGCAGCAACGCCGCGUGAGUGAUGAAGGCCUUCGGGUCGUAAAGCUCUGUCAGGAGGGAAGAACAACUUUCGAGAACAAUACCUCGAGGGCAUGACGGUACCUCCAGAGGAAGCACCGGCUAACUCCGUGCCAGCAGCCGCGGUAAUACGGAGGGUGCUAGCGUUGUUCGGAGUUACUGGGCGUAAAGCGCGUGUAGGCGGAUUCGGAAGUCGGGUGUGAAAGCCCUGGGCUCAACCCAGGAAGUGCUCUCGAAACCACGAAUCUAGAGAUCCGGAGGGGAUCGGGGAAUUCCCAGUGUAGAGGUGAAAUUCGUAGAUAUUGGGAAGAACACCGGCGGCGAAGGCGCCGAUCUGGACGGAUUCUGACGCUGAGACGCGAAAGCGUGGGUAGCAAACAGGAUUAGAUACCCUUGUAGUC
rnacentral:rRNA from 1 species